rnacentral:rRNA from 1 species
UACAGAGGUCCCAAGCGUUGUUCGGAUUCAUUGGGCGUAAAGGGUGCGUAGGCGGCGCGGUAAGUCGGGUGUGAAAACUCCGGGCUCAACUUGGAGGGGUCAUUCGAUACUGCCAUGACUAGAGUUCGGUAGGGGAGUGUGGAAUUCCUGGUGGAGCGGUGAAAUGCGCAGAUAUCUGGAGGAAUACCGGUGGCGAAGGCGGCAUCCUGGACCAUUACUGACGCUGAGGCGCGAAAGCUAGGGGAGCAAACGGGG